rnacentral:piRNA from 1 species
UGCAGAAAUGUGUACAAAGGGUGGA